GUAAGCAGACAGUGUUUUAAUUAUGUUUUUUAUCUUUAGGAAAUUCAGGAUAUAAAUGUCCUGAUUCCAUGACUAAAAACAAUGUAGAAAAAAGAAAGAAGGGGAGGAAGGGAGGAAGAAAGGAAGGAAGGAAGGAAGGAAGGAAGGAAGGAAGGAAGGAAGGAAGGGGCAAGCAAAAAAUAAUUUAAAAAAAUCAACCUUGGCUGUAAUUUUGGAUUUGUCUGUGGCAGAAAGAGUUAAUGGGAUAGUGGUCUCAUAGAGAGGUCUAUUUUAGCUUAUUGCUAGGAGAAGCCCAUAUGGCUCAAAAAGAUGAUGCAACAUUUAGUAUAGGACAGCCCUGGCUGGGUCCUGGGGGCUGCCACUGAAAGAGUUAAAGCUAGUCUUAUUGCCAUGAAGCUCCCAAGGAAGAGGAGAGGCUGCAGGAAUAGAAACCUGUGUGUUCCAGAGCUUUUAGGUAUGAAAAAAGGAAAAAAAAAAGGCUGAAAAGUGUGGCCAAGAAAACAGAAUGUAGGUCCAACUUUUUUUUUCUCCCUUGUUUGACCAGCCUUGGCACUGCCCUCUGCCUCUCCAGGGGAAAAGCUGCAGUUCUGCUUCUGCAACACAAGGAGCAGACUGGAGAAUUUAGAUCUGCGUCACAGCUCAGAGCAGAGAGAGAGGGAGAGGGAGAAAGGCAGAGAGGGGGGAGAGGGAGGAAGGGAGGGAGGGAGAGAGAGAGAGAGAGAGAGAGAGAGAGAGAGAGAGAGAGAGAGAGAGAGAGAGAGAGAGAGAGAGAGCACGAACACACAAGCUGUCGAUAGGUCUGCUAGCAGCAGCCGUGCUGCAGCAGAGAAAGAAAUCAAGAAACAAGUCAUAACAACACUGGGCACCAGGUUCUGCCAAGUGUUCAGAAAUCUGUUUAGGGCCAGAGGCCUCUGGGUAGCCUAGGCUAAGAUGUCACGCAAGGUGGCAUGGGCGGUUCCCAUGUGGAGGAGGUGAGAUGGAGGUGGGCAGGCAGGAGUGGGUACAAGAGUUGGUGUGGUGGCAGAGGAAGACUUAAUCAGAGUGGAUUCUGGAACAUUCAGGACUGCGGCACCUUGUAUCUGGAUAGGAAUUUGGGUCUGCUCAGGAGACGACUGGUGGUCCAGUGGGGCUUAAGGACCUGAUGGCGUAACCUACUUCUUCUUCCCCCACGGAGGAGACUGGGGAGACUGGUUUGAAGAGGAUUGACUAAAUUGGAAGAAAAUAUUGUCC
rnacentral:lncRNA from 1 species